UCCAGUGAAGGAUUUGACACUCAAAAGUCAACAGUGUCACGUAUGUGCAGUGUGUUCCACGUGUUCUUCAGGACAGCUUUAAACAUAAGAUGAGAAACGCAGCAUAGUUGAAAGGCUGUGGGCAGUGAUGAUGGAGAACAAGAAGUGUGGGACAGCAGAGACAGAGAGAGGACAGAGGAGGUUCAUAGCAAUGCUUCAUAGAAUCCAGUCAAGGAGAUAAGUACAUACAGAGCUUAAAAAGUGAAGAGCAAGCCAUUUUGCAUCUUCAUCGUGAUGGCAACCUACACAUCAGAGCUUAUCCCAGGUCAGCAGCAGGGAACUUUGACACAGGACUGGAAGGAAGAUCAUCGAC